rnacentral:rRNA from 1 species
AUGCACGCUGGCGGCGUGCCUAAUACAUGCAAGUCGAGCGCACGGACGAGAAGCUUGCUUCUCUGAUGUUAGCGGCGGACGGGUGAGUAACACGUGGAUAACCUACCUAUAAGACUGGGAUAACUUCGGGAAACCGGAGCUAAUACCGGAUAAUAUUUUGAACCGCAUGGUUCAAAAGUAAAAGACGGUCUUGCUGUCACUUAUAGAUGGAUCCGCGCUGCAUUAGCUAGUUGGUAAGGUAACGGCUUACCAAGGCAACGAUGCAUAGCCGACCUGAGAGGGUGAUCGGCCACACUGGAACUGAGACACGGUCCAGACUCCUACGGGAGGCAGCAGUAGGGAAUCUUCCGCAAUGGGCGAAAGCCUGACGGAGCAACGCCGCGUGAGUGAUGAAGGUCUUCGGAUCGUAAAACUCUGUUAUUAGGGAAGAACAUAUGUGUAAGUAACUGUGCACAUCUUGACGGUACCUAAUCAGAAAGCCACGGCUAACUACGUG